AUAGCCUACAUGGAGAGAGACCUGUACAACAAUUUUUAUAAUAUGAAAGGCCGGCACUUACAUGGAUUUGAUUCCUUUGUAGUGACCACAAAUUUUAUAAAACCUGGCCUUGUCGUUGAAGUAUUAGUUCAAAUGUUGUUGUUUUCUUUUCUUCUUCUUUUUUGGUGUCGAAGAAACAAAUACAAGAGAAAUAGAACAGCAAACUAAACUAGAAACAGCACCAAAACAGGGAAACUGAAAGACCAAUAAACUUGGGGGGGGGGGGGGGGGGAGAUAAGCAGCAUCGAAGAUUAAAAUGCGCAUUAGGGAGUGAUUAUAAUGAUGGAAUCUGACUCUUUGGUUCUGAUUUCUGCUUUCUUAAAUUCCCUUUUAACGGUGGACGUACCGGUCAGCCUCUCAGAUUGUUUCUCAUAUUCGAGUUCAUGCUGGUCGUUUUCAUCAUGUUAACUGGCGCUAGCUAGGCCAGUAGGAAUGCUAAUGGUGCUGCUGAUCUGGUGGCCCCUCUGGCUCUGCACUGGAUGUGUCCUGGUGAUUGGUUUUCCAAUCUUUCCCCCUCCCUAUUAGUUACAAUGGUUGAAUGGCAGUUAUAUCAGCCUUUCAUUUUCCGUUACUGUCUAUCAACGUAGCAUGAAAAUGAUGAAUAGAAUCCUUGUAUCAAACAAACAAAGAAAUCAAACCCCCAACAAGAAAUCUUAAUGACCGAAAAUAUGAAUAUAAAACAAGUUUUUAUGAUAUGAAAGCCGAGACCUUAAUGCACCUAGUACAAUAUGAAUAUAUAACAAAAUUUGGGUUCUGAUUUUUCAAAACAAAGCUUUGAGCAUGGCAUAUGAGCUUGCUAGGGUGAUUCAAUGGCAGGUUCAAUGUUUCGGGAGCCCAUGGACUGCCAUUGAUAUACUCAAUAUCGUUGUCCUUUCGGCUAUACAUGGCCUCGCUCUUCUAGCGCCGUUUCAUUUCAACUGGUCUGCAAUUAGGACAACCCUAGUACUCUUGCAUGUCACAGGUCUCGGUGUAACUCUCUCUUACCAUAGGAACCUUGCUCACCGAAGUUUUAAGCUGCCAAGAUGGCUCGAAUACUCUUUUGCCUAUUGUGGCGUUCUUUCGCUUCAGGGAAGUCCAAUUGAAUGGGUGAGCACACACAGAACCCACCAUCAGUUUACUGACACAUCGAGUGACCCUCAUACACCCUUUAAGGGAUUUUGGUAUAGUCAUAUUGGUUGGUGUUGCCUCUGAAAAUCACCUCGGCCUAGAUAGCCGAGAGAUCAAGGAACAAACGUCCUUCUUGGUGAGUAGAUUGCGGGGCGUGCCAGCACACGGCCAGAAGGCCAAGUGUGCAAUUGUAGACGUAGUAGAUGAAGUUCUGACUUAUCAAGCAAUUGUUGGCCGAGGAAGGAACUGAUUCUCGGCCGAUAGUUCGCUGCCUUUGGAUCAAGGACUUGAUGGCUGAAGGUCGAGUGAAUUGGGUGUAGUUGUGAGAGUAUGAGUGAAUACGAAUUGUCUGGUCACAGGGCUUAAGUCAAUUGGAUCCAAGUAAUAACAAUUAACAGUAAAAGUGAACUCGUAACGAAUGAAAUCUUCAAGAUUGAUAGCUACUAUGCGACUACGAACAGUAAAUAACAUGAUCAAACAAAUAAAGCAUAAAGACAAUAAGGAGCAAAUAAAAUAUAAUAACAACGAAACUAAAAUCUGGAACGGCUGAAAAUUAUUAACUAUUGUUUGAAAGAAAACAAAGAGAACAAUUCAAAAUCGAUACUAGGCUACAAGGAAAGUAAAGCAACUGAAAUUGUAACUAGCAGAGCAAACAAACUAAUAGACAAACGGAACUUCUACCUAAGCAAAAGGUAAAACGAAAGAGAAAAGCUUGAUGGCUUGAGUUUCUGGAGUUGUGUGUGUGUUGUCUUCUGUCGAUGCUUUUAUUUAUAUUGGCUGCUCUGUGACUUGAAUUGACCUCUUGGCUCUUUGAAGUUGAGUGAAAUUCGGCCUCCUUCUGGCUCAGUGUCUCUAUCUUGAUUUGGCUUCAAUACUUAUCGUCGGCUGACUUGACGCUGGACUCUAUCCGGAUCGGCUCUGAUGGUCGUCAUCAACGGCUGUAACUAAUCCUGAAGUAGGAUAUCUUGGAUUGAACUCUCCUUAUCGGCUGACAUGAACUUCAAGUUGACUGAAAUACUACUUGAUCAAAUCUCAUCUUUAUCGCUUAUCGGCCUCUCUGACAAUCGGCCAUUAUCUUUCUAAGUUGAGUUCGAGUUGGAAACUGACUAGAGGGACUUGAACAAUUGGCCGAUGGGCUUUUAGACAAUAAGUUUUUUUUUUAAAUUGACGACUACGGGCCGGCCGAUAACCAAUGGCCUAACUUUCGAAACUUCCCAUUGGCCUUAGUUUUUAUGUGACUUGUCUUGGACCAAAAUGAAUCGUCCAAUUAUUCAUUGGCCAAUAUUUCUAUCUAUCGGCCCCCAAUUACCUUUUGAGCGGCUCAUUGUAAUUAGAAAUCAAUCUAACUAUGCACAUUAGCUAUGUCUGAGUGGACAUGCAAAUGUGGGUACAAACAUUGCCCCCCCCCCCCAAGUUUCUUAAGCAUCGGCGAAUAUCUCCGAGUGGUUGAGAAAUUUGAGUCAACUCGGCCCCCUAAUCGACUUCCGAAAACUCAUGUAAAUAUGUCCCACAUGACCUCCUUGAUGGCUAGAAUGUAUUUUCUUGUUCGAAUGAUAUUUCGGAAAAUCGACUAAAUUGGCCUAAGCAAGUAACUGAACAAAAUGAUAUUCGAAGUGAGCGGUUUGUGAGUAAGCCAAUAAACAAGUUUGAGUAGGACAACAAGUGAAUAUGCCUCAUGGUGGCCAACAACUCAAUGGAUGCAUGUAAGCCAAUAAACAUUAAUCAAAUCGGCCAACAGAAGAAUGAAGAGGCAAAUCGGCUAAUGAAGGCCAACAAAUAACGUACUCGAGUUUAGCCGAUUGAUAGAACUGGAGUUGGCCAACAAGUGAGAGUGGCUCAUGGAAGCCAACAAGUGAAAAAUGCUAAAUAUCAGCCAACAAACAAAACAUAUCACUGGAAAGCCAAUUUGUAGCUCAUGUUGGCCAACACAUGAAAAACCUUAAGCUGGCCAUUAAAUGAGUGGCUAGUGGGAGCCAACACAUGAAAAAUUUCAAGGAAGCCAACACAUGAAAAAAAAAAUCAACUUGGCCAACAAUUUUCAAGUUGGCCAAAGUAAGGAGGAGUAAGCCAACACAUGAAAAACCUUAGGUUGGCCAAUGAGCCCAAGUGAGGAAGAGUAAGCCAACAAGGGAGUUCACAUUUUUAAGUUGGCCAAAUGCAUAAGGAAAUUCAAGUCAGCCAACUUAAAAGAAAGGGAGCCAACCCAAAAUGAAAGUUGGCAGCCAACACAAAAAGAAAGUGGCAGCCAACUCAAAAAUGAAAAGUUGGCAGCCAACACAAAAAGAAAGUUGGCAGCCAACACAAAAAUGAAAAGUUGGCAGCCAACUCAAAAAUGAAAAGUUGGCAGCCAACACAAAAUGAAAGUUGGCAGCCAACUCAAAAUGAAAGUGGCAGCCAACUCAAAAAUGAAAAGUUGGCAGCCAACACAAAAAUGAAAAGUAGGCAGCCAACACAAAAAGAAAGUGGCAGCCAACUCAAAAAUGAAAAGUUGGCAGCCAACACAAAAGAAAGUUGGCAGCCAACUCAAAAUGAAAGUUGGCAGCCAACACAAAAAGAAAGUUGGCAGCCAACUCAAAAUGAAAAGUUAGUAGCCAACUACCCGUUUCCCUCUUUGAUCAUUUUUUUUUUUUUUUUUAAACGACACUGGUAGCCCCAAGUUUUUUUAAACGACAAUAUCUUGGCUCAUAUGCAUGUAAUAUGCCUUUGCCCCCCCCCCCAAGUUUCUUGGUUUUCGGCGAAUAGCACAUAGCACCGAAUAACGAGAAACUUGAUGUACACCGAGAAACAUGAUGUGCUAACCAAUGAUGCUAUAUAACUUGUAGGAUUGGGUCGACCAAGCGAUGGCUGCGAAAAGGACUAGAGAAGACAAUUAUGAAGGCAAACAAAAAAGUAUUACCAGACGCGCAUUUGCAACUUGAGAAUGACCCUCAGGACACUGGUUGAACCUUGGGAGCUCUGAAAGCUUUAUUAGCCGAGUAAUGAUGAUUGAUGUAUGUGGCUCUAUUGUCGGCCGUUGGCCGGUUUUUGUAAACAUUUGAAUUUUAUGGGCCGAUGAAAAACUAAUUAUUUGCUUGCCGGUAACUUAUCAUAAA